GUUUUCUCGAGGUUGGAGGGUGACCUGUUGUCUAUCUAACCCAUUCUGUGGCCAACUGAUCGUAUCAUGGGAGUCUUUUGAGGUGAAUACAGUUGGAUAUAGUUUUAUAUGCCUGUGAACUGAACAUGUUUCUUCUGCACAUGGAACUUACUAUAUGAAGAGGGGUAUUGUAUGGUAGACAAAACGAGAGGCACGUAAGAAUCAGGUCGGAUUCCUAAACAGAGGUUACACUGUUUGAGGUCUUUGACAAAAUAUGGACCACUGCCAUGCCUUACUGGAAUGCUUCCUCACUCAGCCAGUGGGCUUAUAGGGAAGGCACCAGAAACAUAACUGUUCCAGAAAGUCAAAGCAAAGCAGAUCAUGUUUUCUUCUUCAGAGCAUGGCCCCAUCAGAUGCUAUUUGGCAAGUCACUUUGCUUCCCAUUUCACCAUAAAAAUCAUUGCCACAGUUCUACUCUUGGGACUUAUUAACUCUUUCUUUGACGUUAACAGAUCGGCAGUCAUCGAGGCCCCUGUUCCGCAGGCUUAUCAUGCCCAGCAGCUCUUAGUAAUACUCAUCUUAUCACACGCCGCGCACUGUGAUAAGCACGUGCACACGUUACUCUAUCAAACCCUCCAACGACCGUACAAGGUAGAUGCCAUCAUUAUCAUCAUACUCAUCAUCAUAUCCCCAUUUUGCAUAGAAGAAAUGGAGGCUUAAAGAAGUUAUGUGAUUUGCUCCAAGGCAACACCGGAAGUGGCAGGGCCCGGAUAGGAACCCAGAGCUGUUUUAUACCAAAG